rnacentral:rRNA from 1 species
UACGGAGGGUGAGAGCGUUAAUCGGCAUUACUGGGCGUAAAGCGUACGUAGGCGGUUGGGUAAGUCGGAUGUGAAAGCCCUGGGCUUAACCUGGGAACUGCAUUCGAUACUGCUCGGCUAGAGUAUGGGAGAGGGAAGCGGAAUUUCCGGUGUAGCGGUCAAAUGCGUAGAUAACGGAAGGCACACCAAUGGCGAAGGCACCUUCCUGGCCCAAUACUGACGCUCAGGUGCGAAAGCGUGGUGAUCACAUAGG